UGUGUGCGUGUGCGCGUGUGCGUGCGUGUGGUGUGUGUGUUCUCGCAUCCAAUACCAGUACGUCUUCGCUGCGUUCACCUUCAGCCUUUAUCACAGUGUGACAGUUGUUUUUUCUUCCAACAAAAAUGAAGCGAUUAACACCCAUGAAAACAUACUUUAGAAAACGAUCACGAUUUUUUUUUAAUUUACUUUUUGAAAUUGAAAACAUAUUAUUGUGUAUUUCGGCAUUACAUUAUGCAGCCAUGCAAAAUAAAUUAUUAAUGACACACAUCAUUGUCUGAAAGCACUAAAUGGCACAGAGAGAGAAACAUCAUGUGGAGUUAUUUUGUUUUCUAUUAUUAAACAUAAUUUUGUAUUAAGUAAUAAUUAAUCAUUAGUGUAUCAUGAUACAUAUAUUAGAGUAAGAGUAGGCUAAAGGGAUCUGUGAUUUUUUUUUUUUUUAAGUAAUUGAUUUAUAGAAGUGGCAAAUUGAUAAUGAUGUUAUUUUUAAUAAAUAUAAAUAAAUAUAGAACAGAUUAAACAUAUUGCCAAUAGACAAUUACAUUAAUACAUGUUUUGUCUAUAUUCUUAAUGAAUAUUAGCUGGUUAGUUAAAUGAUUUGAAAUGAAAUAAAUGUUCAGGGGCUGACUUGAUGUAUAACCAACCAUAUUGUUGAUUAUAAAGGCUAAAAAGCUAAAAAUUAAUAAUAAUAAUAAUAAUAAUAAAAAUAAAAUAUAAUAAUUUAUAUUUCAUUGUAGAUUGAUAUACAACAUUUUUUUUGUCGUGCAGGAGUAGGUCUGCAAAUGAGCAACAGUCAGGUGAGAAUAGAACAGACAGCCUCACACACACACACACACACACACACAAUACCACUGUGUUCCCAAGAUUCAUUGCAGUCAUUGAACCCUUAUGUUGUUUUAAUUUUCUGCCAAUUUCCACGUACAUUUCAUAAGAAAAAGCAGUGGUAUCAUCAAAGGAUAAACAUGAAUGUCCUAAUACUGAAUCAGGAAGUCUUUAUUGUAAAAAAAAUAAAAAAUAAAAAAAAUCUACAUUCCCAAUUCACUGGACUGGUCACAUCUAAAAAACUAUAUUAGUUUUUUUUUACAGUGUUAUAUAUGGCUCAGUCAGUACUCCUACUCCCAUAUAUGAAAUACAGGGAAUACAAUGGAAUAGUGGAUUGCAAUAAGGUUAGUAUUAUACAACCCUACCCUAAUAGUAAAAUAAUAUUUUUUAAUCAUACCCUUAUUGGGGGCUGAGCCCCCCUAAAAUCAAAAUCUUAGAAUCGCCCCUGCUUGCCACCAGAACGACUAAGUGUGUCACCACCCUUUACUUACACUGGCUUAGAUGUCUUUGGGCCUUGGACAGUGGUAGCUCGCCGAACAAGAGGAGGUCAAGCUCUCAGUAAACGCUGGGCGGUGCUUUUCACCUGCAUGAGCACCCAUGCAGUUCACAUUGAAGUCAUUAUGUCUAUGGACUCUUCGAGUUGUAUCAAUGCACUUCGCAGAUUUUUCGCGAUCCGUGGCCCUGCAAAACAACUGCACUCAGACUGUGGAACCAACUUUGUUGGUGCUUGCAAUGAGCUUGAAUUCCACAAAGUUAUAAAAGAAACAAAGGUGCAAAGAUACAUCAAUAACGAGGGAUGCACAUGGGUUUUCAACCCACCACACUCCUCCCAUAUGGGGGGCGCAUGGGAGCGAAUGAUUGGUCUGGCUCGUAGAAUUCUUGACUCAAUGCUGAUGCGGGAAGGACAUUCUAACCUCUCAGAUGAAGUGCUUUGUACACUUAUGGCGGAAGUGACAGCAAUUAUUAACAGUAGACCUCUCGACUAGACCUGUUUCUUUGGAUGCAGACUCACCCUUGAUUCUUACCCCUGCAAUGCUCUUAACACAAAAACCAGUUUCUUCACCUCCAGCAGGAGACUUCUCUGAAAAGGAUAUCUACAAACGCCAAUGGCGGCAAGUACAGAGCCUAGCCAACCAAUUUUGGUUUCGCUGGAAACAGGAAUAUCUGCAAACGCUGCAAGUUCGUCACAAAUGGCAGGACCCUUACCCAAACAUCGAGACAAUCAAGUAGCCCGAAAUGAAUGGCCUAUGGCACUCGUCACAAGUGUUUUCCCUGGUCAAGAUGGAAAGGUUCGAAAGGUUGAACUUAAAGUGACUAAAGAAGGGUCCAGCAAAACCUUCUUGAGGCCUAUAUCUGAAGUAAUUCUCCUGCUAAGAAAAUAGGAAAACUCCUUUAAACAGUUGGUAUAGAUGACAUCUUCAUAGAUGUCAGGCGGGGAGUGUUAUGUUCAUUGUGUGUUUCACUCUUGGGACUCUAAUUUUGAAAAUUACCAGACUAAGCAAGGGAGCAGGCAUUUUGUUUUUAGUUUGCUCAGCUCUCUCAAGCUUUAAGCUCCAUGUGACUGCCGCUCCAGUUUUCUUUAAUGUUCAUGUCUUCGAAAGCAUUGUCAUUUCACUCUCCUUUGAAGCAUAUUGGAGUAAACAUCAGGAGUUUUGAAAAACUA